rnacentral:ribozyme from 12 species
UUUUUUUUUUUUCUUCCUUCUUUUUUUCUUUAAGAAUCACCCAAGAAGGACGGUUUCUUUUUCUAAAAACAAGAGAAUUUGUAAGCUGACUUUUUUU